GGCCUCCCAAUUCUUACCACAGGCUGUGUUCUUUACACUGAUUGUAUAGAAAGAGGAGGUACAGUAAAUACACCCCAUAUUCACCUCAAUCCUGGCAUUUUGCCUGGUUUGUAUUGUGAAUUGGAGGACAAAC